CCUACGGGAGGCAGCAGUGAGGAAUAUUGGUCAAUGGACGAGAGUCUGAACCAGCCAAGUAGCGUGAAGGAUGACUGCCCUAUGGGUUGUAAACUUCUUUUAUAAAGGAAUAAAACGAGGCACGUGUGCCUUUUUGCAUGUACUUUAUGAAUAAGGAUCGGCUAACUCCGUGCCAGCAGCCGCGGUAAUACGGAGGAUCCGAGCGUUAUCCGGAUUUAUUGGGUUUAAAGGGAGCGUAGAUGGGUUGUUAAGUCAGUUGUGAAAGGUUGCGGCUCAACCGUAAAAUUGCAAUUGAUACUGGCAGUCUUGAGUACAGUUGAGGUAGGCGGAAUGCGUGGUGUAGCGGUGAAAUGCUUAGAUAUCACGAAGAACCCCGAUUGCGAAGGCAGCUUACUAAACUGUGACUGACAUUGAUGCUCGAAAGUGUGGGUAUCAAACAGGAUUAGAUACCCCUGUAGUC
rnacentral:rRNA from 1 species